rnacentral:rRNA from 1 species
AAUUUUUAAGGACUGUUUAGGGUUAUAAAUCUUUGUUUAUAUUUUAAUAGGCUCUAACCUUUUGUAUCAGGGUUUAAUAAUUUUGUAUAAAUAUUUUUAUCUCGAUAAAAAAUGAGCUAGAUUAAGUAUUGUAGUGUGAUAUAAAUUAGUAUUCUAGAAUUGAAAUGAUAUCCGUUUUUUUUGGUAACUGGUUUUAUUAUCAUUUAUAAAGUAAUUUAAAAUGGGAAGCAAUUUAAAUUUAAAGUAUUUUAUAGUCUAAAAUAAAUGAGGAUUAAAUUUAUCUUAAUAUUUUAGUUUAAUUUUUUAACUUUAGGCUCUAACCGUAAAUAAAAAUAAAAUUCAUAUGGUAAAAUUUUAUAAUUAGUAGAUAGAUAUUUAUUAAAAAGUAACUUGGCAUAUUAAAAUAGUUUAAGUUUAUCAAAAACAUAGUUUUGUGAUUUUAUAUAAGAUUAAUUCUGCCCUAUGCAUUGUAAAUGGCUGCAGGAUAAUUUACUGUACGAAGGUAGCAUGAUAAUAAGCUUUUUAAUUGGAUGCUAGAAUGAAUGGAUUAAUUAUUAUUUUACUUUCUUUUUUCUAUUAGUUAAAUUUAGUUUUAAGUGUAAAGUUUAUUUUUACUAUUAGACGAUAAGACCCUAAAAAUUUUAUUUUUUAUAAAAAUUUUAUUGGGGCAAUAAAAAAAAUAAAUUUUUUCUUAUUUAUAUUAUAAAUCAAUGGAUGAUGAAAUAUUUAUUUGGAUAAUUACUUUAGGGAUAACAGGGGAGAGGAUAAUUUUGAGUACUAAUCUGAAUUAUAUAAACCUACCUCGAUGUUGAAUCUUUUGUUUUUAGUAUGUAAGGUUAAUAAGAAUUAGUCUGUUCGUCUAUUAAAAUAAAACGUGAUUUGAGUUCAGAUCGGCGUAAGCCAGAUUGGUUUCUAUCUUUAGUUAAUUUAUUAUAUUUUAGUACGAAAGGAAAGAUUUAUAUAUUAUUUUAAUAAUUUAUAAAUCUU